GGAGCUGUGGCUCAGUGGCAGAGCACUUACCUAGCAUGUGUGAGGCACUGGUUUUGAUCCUCAGCACCA
rnacentral:tRNA from 1 species